GGUGUGAAAAAGCAGCGAUGUGUUCAUUUCCUCUCCGGUCUGCUUGGUGGCUCCAGGCAGUGGAUUUUCACCGAGGUUUCACCUUGUUGCACAUUGCCUUGUCACUGCAAAGUGUGCGAAAACUCCGCCCACAAAGAGAGGAGAGCGAGGAAGGCUCAGUGUUAACACUUCACUAGAAGAAAGAAAACACAAGAGAAAAGACCUUAUUGGAUCCAUCCCUGUCCUGAGGACUAUGCUGUGAAUCCACAGAGCACCGAGGCCCAAUGUGUUUAUGGUCAUGUCUGUGAGCAGUCGACAGGCGCUGGAACACCGCACACAACCACACCUAAUUAGAACAAGACUGUUUGACUUACUGCAUUACCCUGUUAUUACUCAGACUGGGUUCUGAAGGACAUAAGGCUUGGUUUUAAUAACUCUGCACACAACUGAGGGAAACUUUCAAGCAUUCAAAGUCAGAUGAGCAUUCAUAUUCAUGGUUGCUGCACUUUGCCUUUUCCCAAUUGUCGCUGCUGUUUUUGGACUACUGAAAGUCUUAUGAUGGAUUCAUGGAAGGAUGAAUGAAUGAUGGAUAAAUUAAAACACACACACACACACACACACACACACACACACACACACACACACACACACACACAUUAAUCCAGAUGGAGUGAAUAAAUAAUUAAUAACCCCCAGAGUCCCUCCAAAGAAUCCAUUGGCUCAUCAAUAAUUCACAUAUCUGAUCAGGAAGAGAUUCUCUAUUGGCUGAUUUAAUUAUCUGACAAGUGAAGAGGCUUUUAAAAUGUACUGUUCUUUCUAAUAAGGUAAUCACUUUAUUGAUAAACCACCAGGAUGGAAAGUAAGCCAACUGUCUUGGGACCAUGACUGAUGGAUUCUGAGUGUUUUUUUAACAUGGUGACUGACUGUCCAUUCAGACCAUCCCCCCUCUAGUCUUACCACCAUCAAGCAGUGGUGAAGGAGAAGUAAAGCAUGACUCAAUGGCUAAGUCUACCCCGUUCGGAAAAUAAAACAUUCUUGGCACACAAUGGCAUGCAUAAACAGUUAAACUACACGGUGGCCCAACAAAAGUUCACACGGUUUUGGUCGUGUAAUUCUCAACAGGAUAUCUAAAUUCAGCAGCAAGAGUUUCAACAUUUAAAGUAGGUUUAGACAGCUGAACUUCUUUCGCUGAUAGUACAGCAACCCAAAUCAUACAGCAACACGUUCCCAUCCUAUCAUUUGCUCAAACUGUCACUGAGUUGUAUUGCUCCAAUCUGUCUUUUCUUAUCUCCCUUUCAUCUCGCUCUCGUUUUAACUCUAGUGAUUUAGUGCUGGCCACAGUGAAUACUGAUCCAGUCCCUCCUGGAAUGAGACGGUGGUGAAAUCACACAGUGAUUUUUAUAAGUUUGAACAGUUUGGGGAGCGAUAUAAGCACAGUGGAAUAGCCAACAUUAACCCUGACUCACUGGGCCCAGUGACAAAGCUUUGGAGAAUAUGCAUCUGUUUCAGGCUGGAGAUUUGUGAUAAUGGGACUUUUGGGAGCCAUAAAAACUGAUGGCUGCAGGAGUAUCUGCAUGUCUCAAUGUGUGAAUCAUGUUUUCUGCUUCUGAACGCAGCUUGAGCUCCGCUGUACGGUUUGAAUUUGUGAGUCUGGUUGUCUCUGUCUUUAUUGUAGUCUUCAGAUGGUGUUAGGGAGCUCAUGAACACAGUAUCCUAUAGCUCGAAUGCUGUAUGGUCUGAAUUAUUGAAAAAUGGCAUGUUUUGCAGUAACUGUAAAACAUUAGCAGUGUUUUUGUGUUAUGAAAUCACCUUAUUAGUUUGAAAAUAUAAACGCUCAUCAGAUGUUUAUGACAAUUUUAUUAUUUAUUAUUUGUACAUUUCAAUAAAGUAAAAUUAAUAAUGGUAA